CCAGAUACAUGGUAGGGGUUUAACUGUCAUUGCUAAGAUUAGAAGCAGGAUCCGGUGCAUGAAGUGACCUGUAAGGAGAUGUGGUCAGUGGCAGAGCUGUUCUAAUCCUUAGCUUCGCAUUUUACACACAGGAUCAAGCCACCAAUUUCUGGCUUCAGAUACUUUAACAUCUGCCUGACUUUGAACAUGCAACUAAGCCGGCAAAACUUCAGUUGGAAAGACAAAUUCUUAAGUACCUUGUCAAAUUGGAGCCUGUAUAAAAAGAGUUCAACUCUGGAGGCUAGUUACCAAGAUUAAAGAGUGACAAAAGAGCUGUGGACAUUUAAAGGCUUCACCGAAGUCAGUAGGAUGACGAGCAGGAUUAAAAGACUUCUCACACGGCAAACGAGGUGGAUUUUGAGUAGCAGAGCCAGGCCAGUGCUCGGCAAGGGGUUAAAUCGUGCAACAAGUUUCUCAGCUGAGUAAAGUGAGAAGCCAUCCCGCCCAUCCAGCCCUGAGUUUCCAGAGCGAUGUGAUAUGUCCCUCGCAGGCUCCUUGGAGACAGCCAAUGUGCAUAUUGAUGUGGUCUGUUGGUAUCUGUCCUUGAAGAAGCGAAUUACCAUGUCAGACCAGGACUACCCGGGGAGACCUCUCUUGUGCAAUGACGUUUCUUUCUUCACCCUCCUCCAGAUCCUGCUCAGAUCCUCCCUGUAAUCUUGCCAUCUCUAUUUGCGACAUCUCUGCUCAGCCUCACCCUGAAUGACGCACUGCCAUUUCUUAGCUCAUUACAUUGUGUGGCUACAAGUUCUGCUGCAAAACUAGCAUGGAAAGAAACAACACAGAAGAAUAACAAGGCUGGUCCAGCCACAAAGGUGGAUAUACAGCUACUAUGAGUCAUGCUUUAAUUUCACAAUAAAGCAACCUUAGAACUUUAUGCUCUAAGAUGCUGAUUAAUUUAAUUUUUAAAUUUCUAAACAAUGCAGGAUGGAGAGAAACAACAAAAAAGAAAACGUGAUCCUCAGUCAUGUUUGUCAAUGGUGUCAAAGGAGCACUGAGAAAGAAGUGACCUUAACUUUUCACUAGAUGACUGUGAUAAACUUAGCAUUUUGCGUGGGUGUGAUGAACUUGGUAUUUAUGCCUCACCUAAACCUUUGAAGAAGUGGUACCAAGCCAUCUACACUCUGUUUGUUUUGCCUUUGCUUUUGCUUUUUUUAAGCUGUAUUAAAUUACCUCCAUGAGAAAACGCUUUAGCCCAACCUGUCUCAUGACUGAAUGAGUUUGACCAGUUGCUGGACUGGAUACUUUGGGCUGUGCUGCAAGUUUAUUUCUUCUUAGCUUAACUGCAAGGAUUAAUUUUGCUGAAAUCAGUGAGUAAAUUCACUUAGUCCAGGUCCACUGACCUAACAUCUAGUUAAGUUACCACCUAGUUAGCCCUGCUGGCGGACUGUGUAUAACGGUAACAUUUAUAUGCCUUAUCACAAGCGUUGAUAGAAAACUGCCCUCCAUCAACACUCACACAGACAAAAAACUUUACUUUGUGUUAUCAGUCCAUCUUUUCUUAUAGCUUGGCAAGAAAGGCAAAGGGAGGGAGAGGGAGUGUCAUUAUUGGGAGGAGCACAGGCAUUAUGGUGAUGGCGAUCUAGAUAGUAAGACAUGUAGGUACUAGAAAAGUUCCAGGCAGUUCUUGUAGGACCAGACCAGGACUUCAAAAAUAUGAGUUCCCAGCAUAAUCUUCUUGCAUUUAGGACAAGUCACUUUCUGGAUGACUGUCAUAAGUAUUAGACCCAUGAAUCAAAUAAUAUUCAAUUUAUCUUCUUUCUGAUAUGAAAAUCAUAUGAAGUCCAUUUGAGUCUUGGUCCAAAACAGGAGCCAUAGAUCUACAAAAGCUAAUUGCAGUCUAAAAUGUUGACUCAGCUGUUGGCUGUAGGAAAGAAGCAAGUGGUAACAGAAGAAAGAAGAUCAGUCCAUGUUGGAAAGGGACAGGAGGAGAAAAGAUGGUGCUGUACCUUUGUCUUUCUGACUGUUGGCUCUUUGAGGAUUGAAAUGGACUCAGCAGAGCAAGGCUGGAAGUAUGACACUGUAGUCAUGACAGAAAAAAAAUGCAAUCAGGAAGCAAAAGGAUGAUUAUCUAGAGAUCAGAGGGUGUCACCUGGGACGCCACCAUCUGGGCUUCACUUUUCAGCUCUGCCAAAGAACUGUCAUACAAUUUCAACUGAAGCCUUUAGCAAAAUUAAGGGUUGGUCUGUGUGCAGACUUGUGCUGACGUCAGGAUAUCAAGCCUACAACACGCCUUUCAUUGUUCCAGGGGAAUUGGUGGACACUCAUUUUGGUGUGCCCCACUUCAGUUAGAGAGGUAGAAUAAACUUGGUAGGAGCUAACUUGCAUGGCUUGUGAAAAAUGAAAAUUGUAUCUUUGUAGUAUGUUUGACUGAAAACUGUGAAUGAAAAUUUCUGUUCCUAAUGCUCUUAAUCUCUGCAUGGAACAAGCCUCUAUGGCUACCCCCUAUAUAUAAACAAUUCACUGAAACUCUCACACCCUCUGAAGGAUGCCACAAGUCUUGCUUAAUGCACGCAGUAUAAUUUGGGGAAGAAGCUACAGAAGCACAAAGUGGUGCUAUGCAUUUAUAUAAUGAGGAUUACAAAACACUUCUUUGCUCAUUAAAACACGAAAACCCAAAGCAAGUAAAAUAUUAUCAGACAGUGUUGAUUGAGGGUGUACCAGUUCUUGACUUGCUGAUUCAAACAUGCUUUGCUGCAGCCUUUGGUUUUAGCCUGUCUUGCUUAUCUGUCAUUUGAUGUAUUUUACUAGUUUGCUCAUGUACAUCAGGUCUGAUUAACAGCACUGUCACACAUAUAUUUAAAAAAAAGUCUUGAAAACAUCAUAAGACUGUCCGAUGUGGUUUUGCAUCCACAGUGACCUCACGCUGAGGACUGUAUAAGCUCAGUUGUACCAGGCCACAGCAUUCAGAUCCUGAUCAGCAAAGCCACAGGCUCAAGACAAGCAGCUACACAGCAAGAAAUGGUUUGUGACUUGAGCUGAGACUGCUCAUUACCUGAAGGGGUCUGAGUGAUAUGUGGGGUUUAGUGGUCUAUGAUAGCAUAAAUCAGGGCAUAAACUGGCUAUGACUAUGGUAAAUGUGGAUGCAGAACAUGAGAAGAGAUUGCAGAGAGAAUGAAUUUGACUGAUUUAUCUUUUUUUUUUUUUCCUCCUUCCCAAUCUGGAGAACUAAAUGCAUAACACUUUCAGUAGCUAAAGAGAUGUCUGUGAGGAUUUAAAACAUUGACUUGAGACUAGAAGACUGAGUGAAGUAGAUUUUCCCAGUCUAGAAACUCAGAUGUAGACUUUUCUUUUGUGCUUGAAAAAUAACAGAGAAUUUUGAAAAAUCAGCAUGGCUACAUCCCCAGGGGAGACUUAAAUAAAGCAUUAAUUAAAGACAGGGAGGUGUCUUAUUUGAACUCUGCUGAGCUAGAUGGAUUACCUAUGAAAACUGGCAUUGACAGGACAGCUGUAUGAAGCCUGUGGCAGAAGUACCGCUGUCUUAUACAAACAACAGAAGACAGGGCAGGAGACGCAAAACCAUAAUUGCCAGAUAGAUUUCUUUCUUGUGAGGCAUAUGCUAAGUCAGCAGAAACCUGCCUCAGCUUUCUGUUGCAAGGCAUUGCACUAUUAAGGACAAAAAGUCCUUACUUAGUAUUGUUCUUAAAACUCUUCAGCCUUAUAUUGCAGGCAAUACUGCUGGGGAGAAGAAUAUUAUAGAUUUUAUGCACAGAAACAAUCAUUUUCCUCUUGCAUGUCUCUUCUUUUUCAAAUAUCAUUGCAGAGAAAAAGUACAGCAAUAAAAAGGGACAUGUAUGAACAUGAACACUGGGGUGUAGGAAUAUGAGAAUGGCCUGGUGAGAUUUCAGUGGCCCAGUAUUUAGCAAAAAUAAUUUGAACCGGUGCUGUGGUUUAAUUAAGAUUUUUGAUUACCAGCUUUUUUUUGAGAUUCCACAGGUAAAACCUGGAAACUGUAGAAGUCUUCACACGAUUUUCUACUGUGAAGGAAAAACUUUUUCAAGUCAAUAAGCUAAAAUUCAUUAAUAAAAUAGAUACUUGUUGGGACUACUGAGAAUGCUGCAGAUUUAUUUGCUUAGCUUUGCAUCUACAUGCUCAUAUAUUAGUCUUAUUAAUUUUAUUAGUCAUGAAUGAUGACUUCGAUAUGUAAACUCAGUAUAAUCUAUAAUAUGUCAAGUGUAUCUAAGAUGUAUUAAAAAAUGCCUGGGUUAUUUGCUGUUCUGCAGUAUUUUUUUUCCAUUCAGAGCAGGCUUAUUUAUCUCCAUAUGGAAGUAGUUGUCAGUCAGAAGGAAAGUAAGAUAUCUGUCUUUUUGCUAAUUAAUACUUAGUACUUUAUUAAAGCUUUUGCUUUCAUGUUCACAUGCUUGUUAAAAAUCCUAGCUAUAACUGGGUGCUGUUUUUUUGCACCAGUAUAGUGCAAACCAAAAAUGACCAUCACCAUGAAUAAAUGACAUUGAGGCUCUGGUUUUGGCUGCCUGACCACUGUGUUUGGAUUUCUUCAAUGCAUGCCCAGCUCUGAAACCAAAAUGAAAGACUGCUUAAGCCCCACUGUCACUGCAAAGCAUGGCCCUGCCCACCUGAGCUGCCCUGUCCUGCCAUCCAUCCUGUUGUACAUUUGUAUGGUGUAUUCAUCCUGCUGUACAUUUGUAUGGUGUAUCCAUGCUGAGCUCAGGAGCAAACCCAGGAAAGCAUAUGGUGAUCAUGCUUCACUAUUUCCUUGCAUAAUCUGAGGACUGUCUUUCUUCGAAAUAACCCCAGAGAAAUCAACUCUUUUGAAUUGUC
rnacentral:lncRNA from 1 species